rnacentral:rRNA from 1 species
AGGGCACCACCAGGAGUGGAGCCUGCGGCUUAAUUUGACUCAACACGGGAAAACUUACCCGGCCCGGACACUUAUGGGAUUGUCAUACUGAUAGCUAUUACAUGAUCAGGUGGGUGGUGGUGCAUGGCCGUUCUUAGUUGGUGGAGCGAUUUGUCUGGUUAAUUCCGAUAACGAACGAGACUCUAGCCUACUAAAUAGACUGCUCAACUUUAUAGCUGCAUCACCUUGCAGUGGCUUCGGUUGCUGUAAGGCUGUGGUGACGUUGGCAGUGCUUCUUAGAGGGACAGGCGGCGGUUCAGCCGCACGAAACAGAGCAAUAACAGGUCUGUGAUGCCCUUAGAUGUCCAGGGCCGCACGCGCGCUACACUGAAGUGAUCAGCGUGCAAUUAACGUUUCCUACUCCGUCAGGAGUGGGUAACCCGUUGAACCUUCUUCGUGAUUGGGAUAGGGGAUUGUAAUUAUUCCCCUUGAACGAGGAAUUCCCAGUAAGCGCAAGGUCAUAAGCUUGCGUUGAUUACG